UCAACAAGGUAGACUGUUUGGAAGAGGAAGUACUUACAAAAGAACCGGACGACGAAGUGAUGCGGAUUGCCAAACCUAGAUACGCUCAAGCGCAAGACCCUCUGAUCAAAGUAAAUAUUGGCGAUGAAGGAGAAGAUCACCCAACGUUCAUUAGCCAGAUGCUCGACCAAGAGGUUAGUAACAAAUUAAUCGCUUUGUUAAAAGAGUACAAAGAUUGUUUUGCUUGGGAAUAUGAACAAAUGCC
rnacentral:lncRNA from 1 species